rnacentral:misc_RNA from 1 species
AAAUUACUUGACGAGUUCAAUCAAUGUUUCAAGAUGGUGACUUUGGAAAGUGAUACGGGUGAGGUAUGUAUAUUAAAUCAUUUCUAUUAUUUGAAUCUUUUUUUACGUAUACUUUGAGUUAGUUCACAAUUAAUACUUUGAAUUAGUUCACAAUUAAUACACUCAUGGAAUUAGUAUGUAAAUUCUAGCUGAUAUUUAUGUGAUGAAUUAUUCAUCUUUUCAGAAUUAUAUUAUUCCUUGCGAAGUGAGAAAACUCACACCACCCCCAUUGCAUAACGU